GAUGAACGCUGGCGGCGUGCUUAACACAUGCAAGUCGAACGGACGGCGAAGAGCUUGCUCUUCAAAGUUAGUGGCGGACGGGUGAGUAACACGUAAGUAAUCUACCUUCGAGUGGGGAAUAACAGUCGGAAACGACUGCUAAUACCGCAUACGUCCUGAGGGAGAAAGCGGGGGAUCGCAAGACCUCGCGCGAUUGGAGUGGCCGAUGUCAGAUUAGCUAGUUGGUGGGGUAAAGGCCUACCAAGGCAACGAUCUGUAGCUGGUCUGAGAGGAUGAUCAGCCACACUGGGACUGAGACACGGCCCAGACUCCUACGGGAGGCAGCAGUGGGGAAUUUUGGACAAUGGGGGCAACCCUGAUCCAGCCAUUCCGCGUGAGUGAAGAAGGCCUUCGGGUUGUAAAGCUCUUUCGGCAGGAACGAAACGGCGAGCUCUAACAUAGCUCGCUAAUGACGGUACCUGAAGAAGAAGCACCGGCUAACUACGUGCCAGCCGCCGCAGUAACAC
rnacentral:rRNA from 1 species